rnacentral:tRNA from 1 species
GGUUGUGGCUCAGCGGUAACAGUGCUUGCCUAGCGUGUGCAAGGUGCUGGGUUCGAUCCUCAGCACCA